rnacentral:rRNA from 1 species
AACGAACGCUGGCGGCAUGCCUAACACAUGCAAGUCGAACGAGACCUUCGGGUCUAGUGGCGCACGGGUGCGUAACGCGUGGGAACCUGCCCUUAGGUUCGGAAUAACUCCCCGAAAGGGGUGCUAAUACCGGAUAAUGUCUUCGGACCAAAGAUUUAUCGCCUUUGGGUGGGCCCGCGUUGGAUUAGCUAGUUGGUAGGGUAAAAGCCUACCAAGGCGACGAUCCAUAGCUGGUCUGAGAGGAUGAUCAGCCACACUGGGACUGAGACACGGCCCAGACUCCUACGGGAGGCAGCAGUGGGGAAUAUUGGACAAUGGGCGAAAGCCUGAUCCAGCAAUGCCGCGUGAGUGAUGAAGGCCUUAGGGUUGUAAAGCUCUUUUACCCGGGAUGAUAAUGACAGUACCGGGAGAAUAAGCGCCGGCUAACUCCGUG